CUUACACAUGCAAGUCGAGCGGAGAUUGCAUUUAUGUAAUCUUAGCGGCGGACGGGUGAGUAACGCGUAGGCAACCUGCCUUGCACAGAGGGAUAACACCGGGAAACUGGUGCUAAUACCACAUGAUAUCAUAACAAGGCAUCUUGAAAUGAUCAAAGGAUAAAUCCGGUGCAAGAUGGGCCUGCGUCCGAUUAGUUAGUUGGUGAGGUAACGGCUCACCAAGGCGACGAUCGGUAGCCGAACUGAGAGGUUGAUCGGCCACAUUGGGACUGAGACACGGCCCAGACUCCUACGGGAGGCAGCAGUGGGGAAUAUUGCGCAAUGGGGGGAACCCUGACGCAGCAACGCCGCGUGAAGGAAGAAGGCCUUCGGGUUGUAAACUUUUUUGAUUGGGGAAGAAAAAAAUGACGGUACCCAAGGAACAAGCCACGGCUAACUACGUGCCAGCAGCCGCGGUAAUACGUAGGUGGCGAGCGUUGUCCGGAAUUACUGGGUGUAAAGGGCGUGUAGGCGGGAUUGUAAGUCAGAUGUGAAAUUCCAGGGCUUAACUCUGGAGGUGCAUCUGAAACUAUAAUUCUUGAGCGCUGGAGAGGAAAGCGGAAUUCCUAGUGUAGCGGUGAAAUGCGUAGAUAUUAGGAAGAACACCAGUGGCGAAGGCGGCUUUCUGGACAGUAACUGACGCUGAGGCGCGAAAGCGUGGGGAGCAAACCAGGAUUAGAUACCCUGGUAGUCCACGCUGUAAACGAUGGAUA
rnacentral:rRNA from 1 species